GGAAACCUUAAGCCAGCAAGAGCAGCGGCGACGGCGGCGGUGGCAUUUCUCCCCGAGCUCUUGUAUUAUAAAGAACCAUCAAAGAAAAAUGAAGUUCAAUAUUGCAAAUCCAACCACUGGUUGCCAGAAGAAGCUGGAAAUUGAUGAUGACCAGAAACUGUACUCCCUGCUUCCGUGGAUAUGGUAGAAGAAAUGGAGAGCGCAGUAGGAAGUCGGUUGUCGAUGCAUUGUUAGUCAAGAUCUUUCAGUUCUGAACUUGGUUAUUGUGAAGAAGGGUGAAAAUGAUCUUCCUGGAUUGACCGACACUGAGAAGCCAAGAAUGAGGGGUCCUAAGAGAGC